UUGUCACAGAACUACAGCCUCCAAACCAGCCUGACCAUUCUGAAUAUUGCAUUGUAGGUGAGGACUUAAAAACAUUUCCCAUUUCUGGCUCUGCUUCCUGAUGAAUUUAUGUCUCCUCUUCUUCCUUCUCUGCUCCUUCCCUACGACCCCUUUGCAGAACUGUGGGGACCUGCUGUGGGUGGAGAGCUUUGGAAAGCUCCUGCAUGUUGCAAUUCCUACCUACUGGAGAAGAGAGGAAAAUCCCAACAAAUGCUUCUGAGGCCAAGGGAAUCAGUGUCUCUUCGUCAGCUCCCCCACUCAGCAGUGAUGCAUCCCCGGGAGAACGAGACAUCUCUGAAUCACACGGCACAGAAGUCUGCGUUCAUCUGGUGGUUUGAGAACUAGCUGCCCUGAUACCAAGCAAGGCUGGCCAGAAAUAGAGAUAAGAGACUGUCAAUACCUGCUCUUCCCUUCAUGCACACAGGAAGCCUAUGAUGAAUGUUUUGGAUUCGUAUAACUAUUGCCCAAGGGCCACCAUUUGAAGGGAAGCUCCAAGCCUAGGGCUUAACCCCCAGUAGAGCUUUUGCUGGAAAUAAACAAGCCCAAAAAGUACCA
rnacentral:lncRNA from 1 species